rnacentral:rRNA from 1 species
CAGUCGCCACGGUAAUACGAAGGGUGCAAGCGUUAAUCGGAAUUACUGGGCGUAAAGCGUGCGUAGGCGGUUUGUUAAGUCUGUUGUGAAAUCCCCGGGCUCAACCUGGGAAUGGCAAUGGAUACUGGCAAGCUAGAGUGUGUCAGAGGAUGGUGGAAUUCCCGGUGUAGCGGUGAAAUGCGUAGAUAUGCGGAGGAACACCGAUGGCGAAGGCAGCCCCCUGGGCCAACACUGACGCUCAUGCACGAAAGCGUGGGGAGCAAACAGGAUUAGAUACCCCCGUAGUCCCUGUCUCUUAUAC